rnacentral:rRNA from 1 species
UACAACUUUCAACAACGGAUCUCUUGGCUCUCGCAUCGAUGAAGAACGCAGCGAAAUGCGAUAAGUAAUGUGAAUUGCAGAAUUCAGUGAAUCAUCGAUCUUGA